CCCAUAAAGCUGCGGUCAUUUUGACCCUCAGUAGUAACAUCUUGGGGGUCCUGGCUCACAUGAUCCAAGCAUGCCUUUAGAAGCAAAAUGGAGUACACUGAAGGAAACCUAUCUGAAGCCAUCCAAAUGCUAUAGUUCAAGCGGGCUUAUUGCAAGGGGACAAUCAACGAUGCAUCUCAUACGGAACAGCUGCCUGAUUGUUUUGAGCCAAACUGAACAUUGUUGUGUAUUUUAAUAAGUGCACGUUUUAUAUGUAUUGCCAUGCAUGUUCAUUUUCACAUACGGCUCUUAAUUAAGCUUUAUACAAUUAUACAACUCGAGACAUACAUUGUCAUUGUAAAUCUACAAAAAGUGAUGAUUGAUGAAUGACAAUUCAGUGAUUAAAUGAUCGCUUGGCCUGUGAUCCAACACACUAACAAUUACAGUUCAACGUUUGAUAUAAAAGUAGAAUGGGUGCAUUACGUAUUUGAGUGAGGGGUCGUGCGCAUUAAAUGACGGCCUCAGGCAAUUUUUCCCCUCAGUAUUUAUUAUUUAUGUUAUUUAUUUCUUGGGCUUUAUUCCCCCCUUAAAAAAUUGACAUUGCGGAUCUGCAAUUGCAAAUCGCCUCCUUUUGAAACUAAUAAAUAAUUAUUGUAUAUAAUUGGUCUCCUUUGAUAAGUUCGACUGUCUCAAAUACAGUUUAGCUGAUCGAUACUGUUCACCGUCUUUGGAACUUGACUGUUGUUUUGUAAGGAGAGUUGCCUUAGCUGUUUCAUAAUUAGCUGCGGUUAGAUUACUGCUUGUGGUCUGCUUUAGCUGUCCAAAAAUUGUCUCUGUAGCGCUGCCAUUUACUCUUCUGGGGUUGAUAUAGUAGCCAGGGUUAGAGGUAGUGAAGUCAUUAACUAGGCCAUACCACAUGAUACGCAUCAAAUCCCAGGUCUGUGUGUGUGUGUGUUUGUAUGUAUACAUGUAUCCAUAAUUACAGCCAUUUACCUGCCAUGCCAAAAAUGUUCGUUUAUCUUCAUCUUUUUCGCUCUCUUUUGCCCACUGUGUGAAGAAUUCGAAUCCUUCCGUCAUUCUGCAUAUUGUAGUUCCAUCUUUCUCAAAAACUCUCACUUUUGUACCUAAGAUAGAUAUAUUCAAUAAUCAUUUCCACACUGGGAGCAUCUUUCGGUUUAGGAUCACUACGAGCAUAUUCUCUUAAUUCGGCUAGCACUUCAUCUUGGUGUUAAAAGUAUAUUAAAAUUGCAAAGUGGUGCAUGACCUGUACACUAAUAAUUACCUGCAUAACCUUGGACGGUAAUACGUUUAGUCGGGUCCAUGAGUCUCGAAUUAUGUAGCUCUUUUUGAGUUUGGGCACUCUUGAGCACUGGCUAGCUUGGAUACGAGAUACUUCUCUUGAGUACAUAUCUUCAAUGAUCGACCAACCAAAGGUGACAUUACCGACUUUGAAUGCUCUUGUACCCCCACGUUUUGCGGGUCUUGAUUGAAAGAGAGUUGAAAUCAUAUUUUUCAGCUGUGUGAGCGCGUGAGUACACACGUUCGUUACUACAAACCUGGUGGCUGGGGCAAAUGACGAAGUGCACAAGUUUUCCAGUAUACGGAGAGAGGAAUGAUGGCUUGAUACUAUCGGCAUCAGCCACACGACUAUAAAAUUUAGUAACUUAAGCUGACAGCUUUUACGAACCUGUAUGCCUUCCGAGGAGCACCAGUCAUUUCUUUUAUCGUUGUCAUGUUGGCAGGGUUAGGGUUGGACCACAACAUGUACUCAUAAUCGUAGUUUGGUAGAGAUUGGAGGUAAUUUCAGUCAACAAUUUCAGUGUGAUCACUCCAAUAAGCAACGUCAAGAGCAGUCUGGCCAUCAUCAUCAGUUGCCUCUGAACAAAGGUAUAUACAUUAUAACACGGUAUGAUCAAUGAUGAUGGUUCUCUCGUUACCACUGUCACUCUGUAAAAAACAUACGCCAUAUGGAGUGAUAUACUAACUGUAUUGUCUUCGACAUCAACACCUGAGCUGCUAUAAGCCAAUCCACUGUCAUCCUUGGUACUGGUGGAAACAUCUUCAGAAACACUCUGCAAGAAUAAACAAACAAUAAAUAGACUUAAAAUGCACACCACCAGUGUAAGAGGUAUACUUUGUUGACCAUCACGUUCUUGGUUUAUAUCAUGUUUCAAACUUGGAUCUACCACUAAAAUACUUUCUGCCACAAAUCAUUGAUUAACUGUUUAAUAUUAUUAUUGUUGUCACAUAAUAAAACGAGUGAAAUAUGAAUACACCACAGUCAUGUAGCUUUUAAUACUAUCCCUUGUGCGGUUACGUAAUUGGGUACAUGCAUGGUCUAUAUCAUUAAUUAAUUUUGGUGGGAAUCACACACCUAGAAGUGUUUACACCAGACAUGGAGUGGGAGUAUCCCACCAUUUGAUGCAAGUGUGACGUUACACCCAUGGUGUGACUGAACAUUGGUGGGACUUUCCCACCUCCGUUUUUACAGUGUAGUGCUAGGGCAUCUUGGAAGGCCGACUUGUGUAGUGUGAAUCCAUGUUCCGAUAGUGGGAGAACCGUGAGCCAAGUGGAGGCUCCUUUUGUCUUGGAUAGCUCCACUGCCUUCUGGAGCCCGUCCGGUAGCUGUUGAUGUAUAGAGGCUGCUUCUUCUUCUUGUAUGUUCCUGUUGUCCUUACUGACCUCUCUUUUCUUCAGUUGCCCUUUUCUGCAUAAUACUUGUACUGUUUUUUUUUAUUGAAGGGAUUCACGUGCUCACAUGUACAUUCGGGACAUUCGGGACACUUGACAGAGCUUUUCUCACAGUUAGCACAUAUUGUCUGGACACAUCCAUUUCUCCUUCUAGAUCAGGGGGUGGUUGGGGCAGGCACCGUGUCCUUACUUUGAUGACAUCUUCAUCUUUAUGAAUGAGUAUCGCAUCCAGAUAUACUCCAUUCAUCCAUUUUUAUAAAAAUAAUGAUAAUAAUUAUUAUUUUGUUUUAAAGAAGCCUUUUUUGCAGUGUAUGCCUUGUUGCACUAUAUACAUUGUUAAAAUGGUGUGUUAAAUAGUGCACUACUUUUCACUGGUAAUUUUUAGUGUGUUUUAAUGUGCACAACUGUGCAUAUCUGUGUUCACUGACACUCAAUGUGUGUGUAAACCAUAAACCCACAACAAACGUAUAUACACGCAUGAUUUUUUUGUUUGCGUUUGACUGCUUCAAGAACAUUUGUCUCUUCAUUUUUAUUUUAAACUUAUGAUUAGUUACAUUCAUCAGAGUAUGAGUGAAGAAGAGUCCAGUUAUUCCUAUCUCUCACAUCUGUUAAACUGUUUUAUCGUAUGAGGGCUUCGACACAAAAAUGACAAUGCCUACAUUGGGAAAAACAGUGUGAAAACUGCUAAUGCUCACACUUGAUGGGGUGGAGGGACCAGGCGACGACCAUUCAAAACCACUGCCUUGUAUUCAUAAUAGUUCUCAGAGAACGAAGGACCUGCACAGGUGUAUAAUACACAGUGUCAUACAGACCAUCACUGUCAAUUUAAUAAACAUGUCGAGUGUGAGAAUAUCACCUACCGCAGAAGUGGCGAGUGAGCACAUGUAAAACAGGUACUCCUGUUUUCCUUUUGAGCUUUUGAGCUUUGGCGCUGGCCAUCUAAAAUUCUUGUGUUGUAAAAUAAAUUUUUCCUUUCAAAAUGUCAUACUAUAAUUACUAUACUGUCGUCAUAAGACCGUGGUAUGCCACUUGCCAUACUAUAAUCUCAAAUGAGCAUCCACAACGAACCAUUAUUUUUCAUAGCUACGUCUAGCAUUGUCGCAUCUUGGAAUCUUUUCUCUCUGUACACUGUACUUACUUGAGCGCACAGCUGCUCCAUUAAUUCCUGGAUUGGGGCCGUUACCUCACGGUAGCAUAUUGCUGCCUCUUGGCAUCUCUUAUCUCUAUACAGGAGUGACACUCCUCUCAGUAUAGAUACUAUAUUAUAAUCAUAGUGUGACUAGCUGGUCCAGCCAGAUACUGCGCACUUACUAUAGAUAUACUCCAUUCAUCCUUGUUGUCUUUUCUCUGGCCAUAUAUACACAUUUUAUAAUGCAUCCAUUUCUCCUUCUAAUUAUCGAUUAUAAUAGAUCAGAAAAGCAGAUUGGGGGUGGUUGGGGCAGGCACUGUGUCCCAACAGGGACCUUACUUUGAUGACAUCUUCAUCUUUAAGAAACAAAGGACCUACAUAUUCGCUGGCCUUCUAAAAUUCUUGUAAUAAGAAAAAUGUCCCUCAGUUGCCAGGCAAUGAACUUCACAUUUAGAGGAUUGGAACGAUGGCUGCCUGCAGAAAUAAAAUGGGGCAUUAGCAACCUUGAAUGUGCAUCGAUAUUAUGAUUUUUCUUUUAAAAGGAGAAGGCAUAUUACCCGGCGGCUGUGGUAUGACACUCGCCAUAAUAUUAAAAUACAAUACAGACCUCAUAUCCCCCGUCGACAGCCCUGCUCCAGUCAUCAAUCACUUGAAUGAGAGCUGACACAGUUGAACGUGACGACAUAAAGCCCCAUUGCCUUGGGGAAAUUGGUGAAUGUAAUUUCAUGUGCUCCUCCAGAAGUGCUUUCACGUGUUUUUCGAAGUGAUGGAUCACCACUCUUGGGUACGGGAACCUGAAGGGUAAUUACCUGUGCUGAUUGAUAAAUUAAACAACAUUGCAAGUGGAGAGGCACUAUUUUCUGCAGUACUUUUUAGCAUUUUAGGAGAUAUGCCCAUAGAUUUGCCAGUUUCUAGGUUAACCCUUUAACCGUUGGAUUCUUAAUUAACAGCAAAAAGUGAAAUGUCUGUUUAUUCUCUAUCGGGUUUCCAGAGCAAUAAAAUGCCUAGCAACCAUAUACCAAUAGAAUGCCCAUACAACAAGGAACAGGAACACGAGCCUGGAGCAGUGCUUCAGAAAACACGAACUAGAGAAGAAAAGAGCCUAUGAGCAAAGAGUGAGGGAGGUGGAACAUGCGUCCUUCACCCCCUUAGUGCUCUCCGCAAGUGGGGGGCUAGGAAAAGAAGCAACAGUGUUCUACAAAAGAUUGGCUUCCCUCCUAGCUGAGAAAUGGGACCAACCAUACCACCAGGUCAUAAACUGGCUAAGAUGCUCCCUAUCAUAUAGUCUGCUCAGAUCUGCUAUACAAUGUGUUCGAGGCUCCCGGUCCUCCCGUGGUCGCGCCAUCAAGACCAUCCCACAAAUGGAUUUGGUGUCGGCCGAGGCACACUUAUGCCAAAUGGACUAACAAGUAUAUUUUUCCUUUUUGUAUAAUUUUUGUUUUUGUUUUUCUUGUUGUAAUCUUUAUUAUUUUGUCUUGCCUAGAUUAGUACCCUACAUGAGUAACUUUAAUUAAAAAAAAAAAAAAAAAAAAUACAACAAGGAAUAAAAUGGUGCAACAUGUGUUGCUAUUUACGCCCACCCGUUUUUAUCAUUUUAAAUGCCCGGCCAGCAGUGAGAUAAAACCAAAAAAAAGUUUUUUAGGCCACUCCAAAUGAGACUGUAGUUUCCCGUCCAACUCGCGCUUCCUGCUUUAGCUACCGCAUUAAAUAGUCAUUAUGGCCAUUAUUUCUCUAAUUAUCCAAUGAAAUAUUGAAAUUACUUUUUUCUUGUUCUGUUUGUGGGUGUAUGUGUGUAUAGUAACAUUUUUGUGGGUGAUUAAUUAAAUUCAUUGAUGAUGCACCACAUUUAUAAUGAGAUUCAUAGUAAUGAAUAAUCCUGCUCACACCCGCAUAUAAUUUACUAGAGUCUCUGACGGGAAACUACAGUCUCAUUUGGAGUGGCCUUAUUGAUCAUGGUAUAAAGGCUUGACUAAGCUUGAUUUUCACAUCAUAUGAAUGUAACAGUGCUAAGAUAUAUCAAUUUGAAUAUUACUAACGAUGCUACUAACGAUGCUUUCCAUUACCACCCAAGAGGUACAUCGUGGGUAUCAUUUGGUUGUUUUGAUAAGGUGUACCAUCGCCUCUGGUAUACAUUGUAUAACCAUCAGCCCUAUUGUCACCAGGUAUCUCUUUAUAACUGCACAGCUAGUGUGAGUGUGAUACCAGGUAUCUCUUUAGAACUGCAAAGAGCAGUAUGGUACCUUCACUGUCAGACAUCAACAAAUUUUCAUCGUCGCCGGACAGUCCAUCAUCCGAUGACACACUUUUGUCAUCAGGAAGUUCAUCUCCGUCAUCGUUGGACAGACCCACUUCCACCAGACGGUCCACCCCCUGAUACUGUUGACAUCAGAGAGAAGGUGUGGCUCGGUGAACGAUCUAUGAAAUUUACAAGCUCACAUAAAGACUGUUCAUUACUGCUAAUUCUAUUUUAGCUAUACGUACUAUACUUUAAUACACUACUGAUAUUCUAGCUAUACUAAAUACUACUUACCAGAGUCACACAGUGCCUGGUCUUUCACCGUCCUGGUCCAUAGCGCUAGCGUCUAGGUCCAUGUCAUGCAGUCCCAGACAGUUCAUCAGCGUCUGGCAUAAAGCUGGUAGCCUUUGGGAGGUAUCCUACUAUCCCCUCUCCUUCAUAGGCACUGUCAUCACCAGAGGAGACAUCGCCAUCGCUGUCCUCAAGCUGUUCAAGCAAAGUAAACAACCUAGCCAUAGCUAUAAACUUCGUGCGGAAAGAUGCUAAUGAAAUUUUAACAUAGCAACGUGGCUUGGAAAUUUCUAGACUAAAUUGCACGGAUGUGCAUAGUUCGAGCUACUUCCUAAAUAUCGCAGAAUUAGAAUUCCGCAAAAACAAUCACUUAUUGCGGGCCACGAUCGUUUAAAGGGUUAACAAGAUAUUCAUAUACUUCCUGUUCUGUACACAGCAGAUCUUUUGGGCAAUCAGAAGGGUGUAGGUAAGUAAAUUGGUCAGCGGAGUCAUCUAUUUCUAGUGGAGGACACUGGAGAUUGAAACAAGAAUGGAAAAAAAUGUUAAGUGCAGUGGCUUUUUCAAUUGGUUUGUCAAAUGUCCUGCCAUUCUCUUUGAGUGUAGGGAUCGAACAAGUGUUACCAUUCAGGGUUUUUAUUGUUUUCCAAAACAGUUAUCAUCUUUAGUAUUCAAUCUGUCGAAGUUCUUCUUGCUUUUCCGAAUCAUAGAUACCACAAGAUUUCUUUGGUUUUUAAACCUCUUAGCAUCACCAGCUUGAUUCGAUAAUUUAGAUCUCUUAAAAAGUAUAUUUCUCUUGGUUAUCGCUCUGAUAAUUUCCUUGUUGAUCCAAGGAAUUUUUCCUUUAACCUUGAUACUUGAAAAUGGGUAUACUAACUUCCAUGAUUUGCAGGAAGGACGAGUUCCAAGCUGACACACAGGAAUCAAUGUCAUUCGAGUAGAACUCCAUUUCCCAAUUAGUCUGCUAAUGAAUAUCUCCAAACUUGUCUUCUGAUAACUCUUUCUUUGAGGGGACAGUAUUUUUUCUUUUUUCAGGGUGAAGAAUAAACCCAAGUGAUCUGAAUUGGUUAGUUUAGGUAUGGAUGUACAAUUUUCCACAUUGUUCGGCCUUGAAACCAGCACCAAAUCAAUAGUUGAUGAAUGGCCUGUGCCCGAAAAACGAGUGGGACACUUGACAAUUUGUGAUACCGAAAAAUUACACACAAGUGUGCAUACAUGUAAUGCGAAGGAUGGAAAUUAACAUUGAAGUCACCAAUAAUAAUUAAAUCGGAUAGACAAGACUGAUUUAUAGUGAGCAGUGCAUCUGAGAAAGUAUCAAUAGAAUUUUCUGAGGACGGUGGACGAUAAAAGACACCAAGACAUAACUUGAGGUGAUCUCUGAAAGGGAUAGGCAACGCCCCACAUGAUGCUAGAUAAAUGCAGUGUGUGACGUCACACCCUCUGGUUGGAGGCGAGUUGCGCUCAAGAAAGUACACAAUGAUCCCUAUAUCUGCUUAUUUUUCUCGUAGGGGGCCUAAAAGAGAAAUUCAAAGCAAUCAGGCAUCAUGCACACAUACACCCAGCACUACUGAUAGCUACAGUUGCUAUCUUAGUGGCGAGCUUUCUUUUAUUCGGCUUGAUUUGUGUGAAAAAAGACCGAUUUGUCAGUUUAUGUACCUAUAUCUCCAAUAUGAAAUAAUUUUAUAACAUGUGCGUUACACAGAAUUAAAGUGUGUUUAUAACUGCAUGGAACAAAGCAUAUUUUCCAGCUCUCAAUGCAGUGAAGUAGUAGCAGCACCAUGAAACGUUUGUCCGAAGUCCAGAAAGUUUGCGUACCUCUCCUGCUCUUACUGUACAUGGUAAUCUAGUUUGAAGUGCUCUAAGACACAGUUUAGGUAUUAGAAAGUGGAACACAAGUAUCUUUAUCUGUAUUGUGUGAUCAAAGAGAUGGCAUUUGAAGGACUUGGGAACAGACCUGUUAUGGUUUGUAGAGUGUACUGACACCCCCUUUGGAGCUCACUUUCUCAUCACUUUGCAUAUAGCAGCUCUAAAAGAUUAAUAGCCUAUGUCUAAGUGUAUCUGGUGUCUCCUCAAGAGCACAGUUUGCUAUAAUACUACAAACUCUUUACUGACAUUUUGAGUGCACACACCCCUUUUUGUUCAUUACACGCCCCUUUUUAGCAACUCGCCUCAUCCAACGAAAGUGCUGGGUGUUGCCUAUCCCUUUCUUUCGUGUAUCUAUGCUCUGAUUAAAGUGACUAGCACAAAUUCUAGACCAAGCGGCCCUAAAAGUAAAAUGUUAAAAUGAAUGCUUUUGUGAAUAAACAUGGCAACACCGCCACCAUUCCUGAUCUAAAUACAUUGUAGUUAGGAAUGUAUAACUCACUAUCUAUAAUAUCACUACACAACCAUGUUUCUACUAGACAAACAACAUCUGGGCAGUGGGUAGCACAAAUAGCCCUUAAUUCAUCUAUUUUAGGUAAUAGGCUUAGAGAAACACUUACUAGUACAUGUCAUAAGAGCAGUCCUGUUUGUAACCCUGAGAGUUUGCACCCUCCACGUUAUGUUGAUUGCCUAAGUCUGACCUAAAAAAGGUGGUUGCGAGUUGUUUUGAUCCUCAGUAGGUUCCAACGAUUGGUCUACAUUGCUACUUUGGGCCUGUGCAGUCCUGUUUGUAACCCUGAGAGUUUGUAGCCUCUACACAGGCUCUCCUUUCUGUUCUUUAUCAUCACAAUCGUUCAAUAAGAUAAAAUACUGUAUUAUUCGUUCAAUGAGAUAAAAUACGGUAUUAAUUGGAGGAAUAAAGAAAGAAAUAGACGUAGAGUUAGGAGUAUCGGGAAGUCGCGUGAGGGUAGAAGGGUGAAAAUGAGCGUGGGCAUACUGAGCUAGAGAUGUUGGACUGCCCACGCAGAGGUCUACGACGCAGCAAGCUGGACAUGGACUUGGAACUGGAAGUUUGCAAGCACUAUAGCUAGCUAUACUGUACCUUAGGCUUAGCUAGAUGAUCUACUAGAAUCUAGUCUAGAUUGUAUGUUUAGAUUCUAUCAUUAUUACCUUUUCUUGUGUCUUUCUACAUGCUAUAGUAGAAUAGCUUAGUCAUCAUUAAGCAGGUAGCUACUGCCACCAGAGCUGGCCACGCUGGUUCUCUGAUCUGACUUGCAGCACAGCUUGGUGGUUGUCUCAGUGCAAUACAGUACAGUCUUAUAAUUAUAUUCUGAAUGCGUGGGAGAAUACCUUACGUCACGAUUGUGGGCUACAUAUCGCCCACGUUCAUAAAAAUCCUUGUGGAUCACGCGAUUUCCCAAACCAGGCCUUACUUUUCUUAACUGUACGCCCAUUUCUUUCUUUGCUGCCUCACUAUGUCUUUCUUAUGUUUAUGGAUGAACAGUGACAACAGCAAGAAAAGUAAGGCCUGGGAACGAGGCUAGAGAGUUUGCACCCUCCACGUUAUGUUGAUUGCCUAAGUCUGACCUAAAAAAGGUGGUUGCGAGUUGUUUUGAUCCUCAGGAGGGUCCAGCGAUGGGUCUACAUUGUCAUCUUGAGCAUGUGUUCCAAGUGCCUUAUCUAGUGGAUCGCUAAAGCGAUACAGUGGCUCUAACUUCCACCUAGCUUGCUGAUCAAUAAGCAACCAGUUAUCCUCCAGUCUUUUUAGCUUACUUUCAUCACCACGAACAACAAACCACCACUUACUUAUUUGGGACGAUUUAAUGGUCUUGUAUUUCCUCUUCACCGAAAAAGCAACAACAUCAACAUCUGAUAUGGACUUAAUCGAAUCACAUAAUUAUCUCUGAGGUAGUUGUAGAUCUUCGAGUGCCCCAAAUUUUUCUAGAACCAACUACAAUAACUUUAGGAGUUUUAGGAGUCUUGUGCUGGUUCUGGUUCUUGCCACUUUUAACUGGGUUGGAUGGAACGCCCGCUGAAGCAUGAAGGACAUUCAAUUGACGGUUUAUUGUACAAAUCUUACGUUUAGGUGUUUUGUAGCCUCGAUCCCAGGCCGCACUUCCCACUAGGGAAGUGGGCAUGCCAACAGAGACUUCACUUUCAUGACACAUUUGUUAUGAACAGCCUGUAUUAAUUAUUAAUUAAUUAAUUCUUAUUGAGAACCCGCAAAGGAGGCUAAUCCUAGCUAGCUAUCAAGCUACUGGUAUCGACUGCUUGCGCAUGCGCUAAUAUCCCCCCGGUAUCUGGGGGCUUUGGAUAACAUCGUUUAUGCUCAGUAAAACUAUGACAUCACAACGAAAGGAAGUGGAUUGAAGGAAGUAGAUAGAAAGUUCGAUUGAAGGUUUCUAGCCCAUCGGAUAGCAUUCUCUGAUAGCUACCCUUAGCCUGCUAUGUUAACAAAAGACUCACAGCCUGCAACAGUGUGGAUGACGAUCGUCUGAAAGGAAUGGCGGCUGAUAAGAGCAUAUAUGGACAGGCCACGCCCAUUUAACACUAACUUUGGUGAAAGUCUACUAUACUACUGCUACUGAUUCUAUCAGAAGAAAAUAGCAGUACAACAAACCUACACAGCUCUGUCUCUAGCUAGCUAGCUAUAUAACUCUGUGUAUAUGACUUUUAGGAUAUUUUCUCUGAUGUAUCCAGUAUUAUAGGAAUAUUUACGGGAAAAAAUCCAAUAAUUUGGUGCAUGCGCAAGCAGUCGAUAGCAGGCCUUCUUUCAAAGGCCGGUGAAGGAGGCUAGGUGUUUUGUGGCUUGUAGUUACAUGUACAAGAUCUAUAGAUGGAUUCGCCAUUAAAGUCAAAAUAAAUAGAUGUUAGUGUGUGUGUGUGUGUGUGUGCGCGCGCGUACGUGUUCUAUACAUACAUACAAUUUAGACACAUUAAUUUUUAGUUGCAUGUGUGCUUGAUACAUACUGUAGGGUGCAUGUACACAUAUAGAUUGGGUUUCGAACACAACGUUUUUUGAUUGCGAAUUUUCACAUAAAUCGCUAUUGAACGCUAUUGAGACUAUGAAAGCUAAUUAUUAAAAGACACGCAAAAAGUGUUGAACUUCCACGUGACAAAGUAUUAGUAUGUUGAGGUGACUAUAGUGUUCUAAACCCGAUAUAAUUAUGGGUAGAUACGAAGAGCGGACUGGGAUCGAGGCUAGUAACCUACAGGCAUGGUAAUGGUCUCAGUCAAUGACUCCUAUAUGCAUGUAGAUUGAUUGAACAGUAUACAUUCAUUGAACAAGCAGCUUACGUAAACAAGUUGCAAAUUCUCCCUACACAUGUUGGAAGGAUGCCUCAGGGUAAUGCCAGAAGGGAGACCAAUCACAUGUUCAGGUUUGAGAGGCACUCUUGUUUGAGAUUGUUGAGCAAGAGCUGCAUUAAAAAUAAAAAUAUACCUGUUUGCAAACAACUCAUAUAGAACUCACAAUAUUUGGCGUUUAACCUUGGUUGUAGUGGCCAAGUACGUUUUCCUCUAAAUGGAUGAAUACAGACCUGUACAGCAAGAACGCGAUCCCCCCUACGCUUCCGAAUGGAGGGUAUAAUAAUAAUAAUCUGUGCAUGAAGUAUUUUAGUGCAGACCCCAUAAUCUUAGUUAUUGCUGGGAACAAUUUCUCAGUAAUUGAGAUGCAUGCACUCUGUGUGUAUUUUUCUAAUCGGACGAGCUGAGCUUCUGUCUGAUUAGCUCCUUCUUGUUGUCAAACUUCCCUUAGCCUUGCCAGCAGAGUCUUUGAUAUGGCGUUCCCAACCUCAUUACCCGAGGCUUAUUCGAGGUUCAUCUUCUUUCUUGAUUGCACAAUGUGGCAUUACCCGAGGCUUAAGAGCUGGUGGUUGGGGCAUGUCCCAACAGAGACUUCACUUUGAUGGCAAAUUUUUUAAGCUCUUGGCUAGAUUUUGGAUGGAGGGUAUAAUAAUAAUAAUCUGUGCAUGAAGUAUUUUAGUGCAGACCCCAUAAUCUUAGUUAUUGCUGGGAACAAUUUCUCAGUAAUUGAGAUGCAUGCACUCUGUGUGUAUUUUUCUAAUCGGACGAGCUGAGCUUCUGUCUGAUUAGCUCCUUCUUGUUGUCAAACUUCCCUUAGCCUUGCCAGCAGAGUCUUUGAUAUGGCGUUCCCAACCUCAUUACCCGAGGCUUAUUCGAGGUUCAUCUUCUUUCUUGAUUGCACAAUGUGGCAUUACCCGAGGCUUAAGAGCUGGUGGUUGGGGCAUGUCCCAACAGAGACUUCACUUUGAUGGCAAAUUUGUUAAGCUCUUGGCUAGAUUUUUCUUCCGCGUAUGCAAUCUUAAUUGUUACUUCAACAUUUACAAGGCCGUUGACCUAUAGGGACUGUACUGUAAUUAUUUUCUUAUUACUCUUUUGUCAGCUUGCCAUGUUUAUACUCGUGUGUAAACGCAUGUUUUAUCUUCGCCUGUGGAAGGUAUAAAAGCUUCUGGCAUGUUGGGAAGCUCUUUUUUGUUUGAUUCCAGACCUUGAGUGGCCACUUCCUCUUUUGUGGUCCUUCCUUUUGUAUUCUAUUUUGAGACGCAGCUCCCUUGGUAUUCGAUUACACGAUUUCAGCAUGUCCCAACAGAGACGAAGUUGGCCUUCCCCUCCAUGUCCACUUUUUUUCUUUCUUUCUGGUCUCUUUAUUAUUCGUUGCCAUGGCCUACAUAAUUAUAUUACAUACUGAGUAUAGAAACCAUUAAUUUUUUCCAUAAUCUGCACACGCAUUUCUGUGGUGUAUGACCUAUUGCUAUUGGCUAACGCUCACAAUCCCUGUUAUAACUGGCAUGCAUGCGCGCGCACUGUAAAAACAAGUGGGUUGUUUCAACCCUGACAUGCGUGUCAUUUGAUUGUCCCUCCAAAUAACAUGCUACACGUAUGUCAAAUUGCAAGCUCACAUGUAGUAUUUCCAAGACAAGGGCGUUUAAAGAGAAGAGGAGAAGAGGGCAUGCAACUCCUGUGUAUGCCUCAUAUUAUAUACUCAUUUAAUCUAUUGAGUACAGUCAAAAGCUUCUUAUAGGGCGGAAUUGAUUUUACAAUUCCGAUGAUUCACUGUUAGGACCAUUAAUGACCAUGUACAAUCGUGGCGAACACUUUGGCUGCACGUACAUCAAUUUUCAGUUCUUAGCUUAUACUGAAGCGACCCAUUGCAAACAUAACUUAAUGAACACGGUAAUAACAUCGUGAUACUUAUUAAUUGUGCAUAAUUAUACGUGCCAAAUAAAUACAUUUUGAAGUGCUUAACAACUAUGUGCUCUUCUAUAUUGCCUAGGGUUAUUUUGCAGUACAUUAUUAUUGUCUCUAUGAUAUAGUAUUACUGGUGAUAUAUUCACCAGUCCCACGAUAUGAAUGAUGCCAUUGUUAGUCCUCACUAAAGGCAUCGAUGUCGAGCUCCUCCGGAUCCUGUUCGGAUUAGAGCAGCAGCAAAUGUUGACCACGUCACGUCCGAUCUCAUUACCUUUGUGAAUGAGACUCAGAAUGAGAAUAAGAGAUGGUUUGUUUCUUCUCCCCCUCCCCACCACACAUGAUGAGUGACACACACACUUGUACACACACGUCGGCCCGUCAUCACUCCCCACGAGGCCCUCCAGAGGCACAGUGUUCAAGAGUAAAAAUAAUAAUAGUUAAAAAUAGGAUGUUGACAAUAAAACCAUAACAACACUGACUAAAUUUCCUUUUCGUCUCAGCGAGGGUUCCAAAUUCAUUGGGAGAAGACAGAUCAUUAUCCCGUGCCAGUUGAGUACGUCAACUAUUACGUCAGACUUGAUCAUCGAUCGUUAGAGAAAUUUUGCAUUGAAGAAGCCACUAUUCAUGACUUCUAUUCUAUCUGGAAUCACCAAACUCUUUCUCAGCGAGAUUGCCAAUCGGUGUUCCAAACUCUUUCUCAGCGAGAUUGCCAAUCGGUGUUGCGCCACUGUUUGCGGCAAGUUUUAAAUUGUUGGGGUUGUUUGGACAGUAGUUUCUGUGAGUUGGUAAGGAAUGGCUACUGGAUCCACACUUGCACUUUCUCUUUUCCUUUGCUCCCUUGACAAUCUCGACCUUUUCAACCAUAUCCUCAUCCUCUCCGCGUAGGUGUGGUGUUUAUGUUUAUUUGACCACAGUUUUCGUUGCUGUGCUUCGUAUGUCCUUUGUUUCUUCAACUGUAGCCGCCUCUUUUUUGCCUUUGUUGUUUUUAUUGAGUCGAGGACCUUUUUGCAACAGUGUGAAUGAAAGGCUACUAUACUGCUAUUGACUCGUAACGGCCUCGAAGGUUUACUGCCAAUAAGGUUUACUGCCAAUGGGUCUUAGUCGGUUGCACAUGCGCAUAAUUUUAAUUUUGGUUCUGUAUUAGAAAAUUGAUAAGUAAUUGACACAAGCAUCAGUGGCUAGUAUCCAGUUAAGAGAGGCAGUGGCUUCAACUCUUCAGCUUCUAGAUCGCUUUGUUCGUAUUGCGUUUUCUUUUCUCUUUAACUUUCCUUCAUACUUUUUUCUGUCUGAGGAAAUCACCAAAAUAGACCAUUGCUCGAAUGACGAGAUCCUCUUCAUUAUCUGAAACCGUUUCCGUCUCUGCUGAGGCACCUUCAAAGGUUUCACUUGUCACUGGUUGUAGAGUUGGCUCCGUUGCGACACCAUGGUAGGUUUCUUUCAGUAUAGAGAGGCAGUUUUAUCUCUUAGCUCGUUGUGCCUUAUGCUGGGGUAGCCUCCUCUUGGGCAUGAGAGAGCAUGUUGAAUAGAGAACGUCUGGCCACAGACACAGUGGGUUGGACCAUAUUGCAUAUUGCGUCACAAAAGGCCGUUUUUUAAUUACAUAACUACAUUGCUCGUGAAAAUGAACGUGGCGAUUAUUAUUAUUAUUAAGUUGCCUUUGCACGACUGAACGCAACUCUUUCAUGCUUGAUGGUUCUCUUGAGGCUGGGGUGUCACACCUACAACGUAUUACAGUAUUAGCACCACUUCAUUGUGAGCUAACAGAUAUAUAACAGGAACGCACCUGGUUUAGUUGAGACCAAGAACGAUGUGGGAAUGUUAGGAUUGGUCUCCGAGAAUUUACAACCACCCUGAGUGCCUCCAACAUAGUGGUUUUUGUCAUUGCACACGAUGAACGUCACGUGUACUCCAAACUUCUCAGCCCAGUCACAGUCACACUGAAAAACAAAAACAAAAACAAGUACAUACAAUGAACUUGUAGUAGGCUCUGAAAUAAAUAUGUGAUUUGUCCCCUCUCCUACUAACAGAAACCAUACAUUGUAAUAACGUAUCAAUCGUAUGUACUGUAUUACUAGCGAGUAAAAACAUAUGCAAAUUUUGCGAGGGUUGAUCAAUUCGCAACAAUAAAAUCGCAAAACUUACUAGUAAAUGCACACGAUCCUUGCCAAAUCGCAAUAGUUGGAUCGCAAAGGGUCAAAUUUUCUGCUGAUUUAGCUCAUUCGCAAAGGUUUUUCACCCGCAAAAUAUUCUAGUAAUACGGUAUACACUCUAACAGCGUAUUAAUUGUUACUUAGUUGUGAUAUAUAGAGUGGAAACUGCAUUUGGUGAACCACAUUUGAAAACAACAAGUAUGUAUUGUAUACACGGCAACUACAUAUAAUGCUCAGAAACCGGAUACUAAGGAAUUUAACCCACCAUGUAUAUACAGGAACUUGGAGGAGAUGUCUGCUAGAGAGACAGGAUUCACAACUGGACACACCCCUCUCCACUGUGGAAUACCCUCAAGAUUCGGACUACAUUCUAACACCAAUAGACAUAAAAUGUACUAAUGCGCAUGAAAAGGUGGAUGAGAUGUGCACAGAAGCCAGAGAGACCCUGAAACAAAUGGAACCAGAAGAGCUAGGAUCGUGGGAGAGAGCCGUAGAUGACAAGAGGUCAUCAUUCGAAGAACUUGUACUUUCAGUAUUCGAAACUAUUUCCCAGGUAAAUUGCAGCAUCUGUGUCAAAAGGGCGAUCUGUACAAGGGGACGUCCAAGGGAGCAGAGGGCUAUGCGCCAGGAUACUUUUCCAGCAAGUCAAAGAACAGAUAAAAUAGCUUUUAUGACUAAAUGUAUAAACUAAUAAGUUGUUUUGAAGCUGUAAGUAAAUGCAGAACUAUUAUUAUAUGGCAGCAAGGUGAA